rnacentral:lncRNA from 1 species
UAAGUUAGUAAAUUGUUUUGCCAUGUAGACAAAUUACUAAGACUGAAAUAUUUUUUCAGUGCAAAUUGAAGGACUCGGAUGAGAUUGAAGGGACACUGAAAUUUUUCUAAUUAAAAAGGUGCCCUGGACAUGUGGCUGCCCUCUAGAAUCUGAUUCAUUUCCAAUCUGUACUAGGAUACCAGAGAUGAUUGACUCCUUAUGUCCUGGUCCUAGGAAAAAAAUACCUUGUGUGGAGGAAAAUGAGAUCCCGAGUGAAGCCUACAAUGUCAUUGACUCUGAAGAAGGACUCAGAGACCCAUUGGUGUUUAAUGACCCUUACUGGCCUCUGCAAUGGGAACUGCAGAAAGAAGAGAUGAGACCGUGACAGGAACAUGUAGGGCUGGGGAUGUAGCUCAGCGGUGCUGCCAAGUGCCUCGCCAGCACAAGGACCCGAGGCUGAUCCCCAGUAACCCCACACACAACAACAGAAAGCAGAAUGUAGACAGAAGUAAUAUGAUGACUCUAUACCAUGGAAGGAUGUGAUGAACUGUUUUUGUUAAAAAAAAAAAAAAGACAGAUGGUAAGUAUUUCCAGCAUUGUGAAUCAUGUGUCUGUAGUAUACUCUUUUUGUUUCAGUUCUUCAAAAAUGUAAGAAAAACCUUAGCUUUGAACCACACAAAAACAGGUUUUAGACCAAUUUCAUUUUUAUGCCAUAUUUUACUGACAGCAGUAAGGGUGGAAACUAACGGGAGAAGAGGAGUCAGGAAGAGGCCACUAGGAUUUAGUUGUCUUUUAGGUAUUCAAGUGCUGUGUAGCUAAUGCUCUCAUCAAAACUUAAUACAACUCAAAGACAAAAGGUUUAUGCUGUUCAUGUUUAUAUUCUUGGUCUUUUGGAUUAUUAUGGUUCCCAGGUAGUAUCAUAAUAAAGGCAUAUUUGUCAGUACAAUAGCAAUUCCUUUUUGUGCCAAGACACUCCAUAAUGCAAAAUUGCAAAGAAAGAUUUUCAAUUCGUGACUGAAUGUUCUUUGUAAAACACAUCCAUGACACCA